UGAGUGAGUGGCGAACUGGUGAGUAACACGUGGGAAACCUGCCCAGAAGCGGGGGAUAACACCUGGAAACAGAUGCUAAUACCGCAUAACAACUUGGACCGCAUGGUCCGAGCUUGAAAGAUGGCUUCGGCUAUCACUUUUGGAUGGUCCCGCGGCGUAUUAGCUAGAUGGUGGGGUAACGGCUCACCAUGGCAAUGAUACGUAGCCGACCUGAGAGGGUAAUCGGCCACAUUGGGACUGAGACACGGCCCAAACUCCUACGGGAGGCAGCAGUAGGGAAUCUUCCACAAUGGACGAAAGUCUGAUGGAGCAACGCCGCGUGAGUGAAGAAGGGUUUCGGCUCGUAAAACUCUGUUGUUAAAGAAGAACAUAUCUGAGAGUAACUGUUCAGGUAUUGACGGUAUUUAACCAGAAAGCCACGGCUAACUACGUGCCAGCAGCCGCGGUAAUACGUAGGUGGCAAGCGUUGUCCGGAUUUAUUGGGCGUAAAGCGAGCGCAGGC
rnacentral:rRNA from 1 species